rnacentral:lncRNA from 1 species
GACCAAAGCUCCCCCAUACCUUACAGCCUUUCUGGUCCUCCGGGAACUCAUUCAAGGGACCCAUCAUUACACCCCAGACACCCCUGCAAUAGGGAAGCUGUCUCCUUGGAAGGCAGUAUCAGUUCCUGGGGUGCAGGGACUUCCACCUUCCUUCCCUCUGCUUAGCCUGCCAUUCCUUCAGCUUUUUGGUUUAGCUGUGGAACCAAUAGGUCAGUCUACCUCCCCUACUUUCCAGGCAGCUUCAAAGGUUUCUGGGAUGUUCUCAUUCCAGGGCCUUGCGCUUCCUAGGCAAGCGCUCUACCACUGAGCUAAAUCCCCAACCCCUGGGCUCUACUCUUGAGCACCCAACCUGUAAAGUUCCAGGCUGAGUGAACGCCCAUGCUCUUGGAGGCUGGCUUGAUGAAUUCCCGGUCGGUGAGGAAGGGGAACUACCUGGCACAGAGCUGCCUCCAGGCUCCUGACUCCCAGCCUCCUGGCUCAGCGGUCUGAGAUGAAGCUUAGUGCUGGGGUAAAAACCUUAGCCAGCAAGGACUUGACCAUUGUUUCUCCCACAUCCCGAGGUUUAUCCAGUCUCUGGAUUCUCUGACUGAGACUCAGGGUUUUCAAAACCCUUUCCAGGAGAGUGAGGGAUGCCUGAAGGCACUUCAUAUGGUGCCCUGGCUCAGGACCCAGCACCCAGGUCUCCCAGCAGUCACCCGGUUCCCACUGCCUCUUCCCUAUGAAGCAGCCGGGGAACCUGAUAAGACAAGCUUUGUCCUCUUCCUUUCCCCGUGAAAAAGCCUCCCGUGGUUUCUACUUUACUUGCAAUAAAAUCUCAGCUCCUUUCUGUGGCUUGGGAGCCCCAGGAAGACUGACACAGACAU